CCUUCUAGAAUGCCUUCUGACAUUUCCCCCACCUUAAAAAACAAAGUCCUUGUCUAAUCUCAGAAGCUAAGCAGGGACGGGCCUGGUUAGUACUUGAAUGGGAGACCACCUAGGAAGACCAGUCC
rnacentral:rRNA from 1 species